UACAGAGGGUGCGAGCGUUGUUCGGAAUUAUUGGGCGUAAAGGGCGCGUAGGCGGUGCGGUAAGUCACCUGUGAAAUCUCCUGGCUCAACUGGGAGCUUGCAGGCGAAACUGCCGUGCUGGAGUGUGGGAGAGGUGCGUGGAAUUCCCGGUGUAGCGGUGAAAUGCGUAGAUAUCAGGAGGAACACCUGUGGCGAAAGCGGCUCACUGGACCAUAACUGACGCUGAUGCACGAAAGCUAGGGGAGCAAACAGG
rnacentral:rRNA from 1 species